CUACGGGCGGCAGCAGUUAGGGAAAUUUUCCAAUGCGCGCAAGCGUGAGAAAGCGAGCCAGAGUGUUUUUCAUAAAUUUUGAAAAACUUUUACGGAAUGUAAAAAAUUCCGAGAAUAAGGACUGGGCAAGACCGGUGCCAGCCGCCGCGGUAAUCCCGGCGGUCCGAGUCGCAGCCACAAUUAUUGGGUCUAAAACAUUCGUAGCUUGUUUAGUGAGUUCCUUGUGAAAUUUUGUCUCUUAAGGGCAAAGCGUGCAAGGAAUACUAUUAAACUUGGGACCGGAAGAAGUAAGAAGUAUGUUCAAGGUAGUGGUAAAAUAUUUUAAUCUUAAACAGACUAACAAUAGCGAAGGCAUCUUACUAGUACGGAUCUGACAGUGAGGAAUGAAGGCUAGGGGCGCAAAGUGGAUUAGAUACCCCGGUAGUC
rnacentral:rRNA from 1 species